ACGGGAGGCAGCAGUGAGGAAUAUUGGUCAAUGGGCGGAAGCCUGAACCAGCCAAGUCGCGUGAAGGAUGAAGGUAUUAUGUAUUGUAAACUUCUUUAGACGUAGAGAAAUAAGGAGGUCGUGACCUCUGAUGCUAGUAUACGUAGAAUAAGGAUCGGCUAACUCCGUGCCAGCAGCCGCGGUAAUACGGAGGAUCCGAGCGUUAUCCGGAUUUAUUGGGUUUAAAGGGUGCGCAGGCGGCCCUGUAAGUCAGCGGUUAAAUCGUGGAGCUCAACUCCAUCCCGCCGUUGAUACUGCAGGGCUUGAUUGCGGUCGAGGUUGGCGGAAUUCGCCGUGUAGCGGUGAAAUGCAUAGAUAUGGCGAAGAACUCCGAUUGCGUAGGCAGCUGACCAGUCCGUAAAUGACGCUCAUGCACGAAAGUGCGGGGAUCGAACAGGAUUAGAUACCCUGGUA
rnacentral:rRNA from 1 species